AAAUUGAAGAGUUUGAUCAUGGCUCAGAUUGAACGCUGGCGGCAGGCCUAACACAUGCAAGUCGAACGGUAGCACAGAGAGCUUGCUCUCGGGUGACGAGU
rnacentral:rRNA from 2 species